AACGUAGGACGCAAGCGUUAUCCGGAGUUACUGGGCGUAAAGCGCGGGCAGGCGGUGCAUUAAGUCUGAUGUGAAAGCGCUCGGCUCAACCGAGCGAUGCCAUUGGAAACUAGUGAACUGGAGUCUGGCAGAGGUAGGCGGAAUUCCGGGUGGAGUGGUGAAAUGCGUAGAGAUCCGGAGGAACACCAGAGGCGAAGGCGGCCUACUGGGCCAGUACUGACGCUGAGCCGCGAAAGCCAGGGGAGCGAACGGG
rnacentral:rRNA from 1 species